rnacentral:rRNA from 1 species
AACGAACGCUGGCGGCGUGCUUAAUACAUGCAAGUCUGACGGGAAUGUCGGCUUCGGCUGAUUAGUACCGUGGCGAACGGGUGAGUAACACGUGGGUAAUCUACCCUUGAGCUCGGGAUAACCUUGCGAAAGCGAGGCUAAUACCGGAUAAGACCACGCCCUGCACGCAGGGUGCGGUCAAAGGUGGCCUCUUCUUGAAAGCUAUCACUUGAGGAUGAGCCCGCGGCCUAUUAGCUAGUUGGUGGGGUAAUGGCCUACCAAGGCGACGAUGGGUAGCCGGCCUGAGAGGGUGUACGGCCACACUGGCACUGAGACACGGGCCAGACUCCUACGGGAGGCAGCAGUGGGGAAUUUUGGACAAUGGGCGAAAGCCUGAUCCAGCAAUGCCGCGUGCAGGAAGAAGGCCUUCGGGUUGUAAACUGCUUUUGUACGGAGCGAAAAGGCUCUCUCUAAUACAGGGGGCUCAUGACGGUACCGUAAGAAUAAGCACCGGCUAACUACGUGCCAGCCGCCGCGGUAAGAC